GACGAACGCUGGCGGCGUGCUUCACACAUGCAAGUCGAGCGGAGCGGCGAACGGGUGAGUAAAGCGUGAGUAACUGCCCCCCUCUCUGGGAUAACAGUUGGAAACGGCUGCUAAUACCGGAUAGUGGGGGAUGACUCGCGUCCUAUCAGCUGGUUGGUGGGGGAGUGGCCUACCAUGGGGAAGACGGGAAGCCGGCCUGAGAGGGCGCCCGGCCACCUUGGGCUGAGAUACGGCCCAAACUCCUACGGGAGGCAGCAGUGGGGAAUAUUGCACAAUGGGGGAAACCCUGAUGCAGCAACGCGCGUGCGGGAUGACGGCCUUCGGGUUGUAAACCGCUUUCAGCCAUGACGCGGUAGUGGCAGAAGAAGCACCGGCUAACUACGGGCCAGCAGCCGCGGUAAUAC
rnacentral:rRNA from 1 species